rnacentral:rRNA from 1 species
CGCGUAGGCGGCUUGCCAAGUCCGGGGUGAAAUCUUUCGGCUCAACCGGAAAAGUAGCCUUGGAUACUGGCAGGCUAGAGGGAGAUAGGGGUGCGUGGAACUUCUGGUGGAGCGGUGAAAUGCGUAGAUAUCAGAAGGAACGCCGGUGGCGAAAGCGACGCACUGGACCUCUACUGACGCUGAGGCGCGAAAGCCAGGGGAGCGAACG